rnacentral:tRNA from 1 species
GCGCCCGUAGCUCAGUUGGACAGAGCAGAUGCCUUCUAAGCAUCAGGCCGAGGGUUCGAUCCCUUCCGGGCGCG